GAUGAACGCUGACAGAAUGCUUAACACAUGCAAGUCUACUUGAUCCUUCGGGUGAUGGUGGCGGACGGGUGAGUAACGCGUAAAGAACUUGCCCUGCAGUCUAGGACAACAUUUGGAAACGAAUGCUAAUACCGGAUAUUAUGUGAGUUUCGCAUGAAAUUCAUAUGAAAGCUAUAUGCGCUGCAGGAGAGCUUUGCGUCCUAUUAGCUAGUUGGUGAGGUAACGGCUCACCAAGGCGAUGAUAGGUAGCCGGCCUGAGAGGGUGAACGGCCACAAGGGGACUGAGACACGGCCCUUACUCCUACGGGAGGCAGCAGUGGGGAAUAUGGACAAUGGACCAAAAGUCUGAUCCAGCAAUUCUGUGUGCACGAUGAAGUUUUUCGGAAUGUAAAGUGCUUUCAGUUGGGACGAAGUAAGUGACGGUACCAACAGAAGAAGCGACGGCUAAAUACGUGCCAGCAGCCGCGGUAAUACGUAUGUCGCAAGCGUUAUCCGGAUUUAUUGGGCGUAAAGCGCGUCUAGGCGGUUUGGUAAGUCUGAUGUGAAAAUGCGGGGCUCAACUCCGUAUUGCGUUGGAAACUGCCAAACUAGAGUACUGGAGAGGUGGGCGGAACUACAAGUGUAGAGGUGAAAUUCGUAGAUAUUUGUAGGAAUGCCGAUGGGGAAGCCAGCCCACUGGACAGAUACUGACGCUAAAGCGCGAAAGCGUGGGUAGCAAACAGG
rnacentral:rRNA from 1 species